CCAUUUUUAACAGGUUGAUGGAGUAUACAGCCAUGUACCGAAAUUGCCUAUACAUAACGCCUCGUUAUAUCUGAUGAUUGUAUUAUAUUUUACCAUAGUAUUAAGUUCACGAUAAUAGUGUAGUUGAUUUAUCUGUAAUUUAAUCGCAAACCAAAUUACUGUAGUAUACGAAAAGUCACUAAAUAUUUUCGUACAGCAAAAUAGUCAUUAAAAACCACGCUGGUAUAUUGAGACAGGGCGUUCUAAUGUGUUUUCCCUAAAAUAAAAUUGUGCU